ensembl:snoRNA
UUAGCCACCUGACCAGUUCUUGUUGGUUGGUACAGUCCAGUGGUGAGCUGACAGUAUACCCCAGCUUUCAGGAAACAGGGUUGUUUUUCAUGUGAAUGAUUUGUGCCAACAGCAUAGGAACAGCU